GCCCUCCGCGGGAGCGCGCGCGUAAGCCUCGGUCGCCCAGUUUAUAUACCCAUUUUUAUAUAAAAUAUCCCAUUUUUAUAUAAAAGCAACAUUCUAGUUGCUUUUAUUACGGGUUUUUUUUUUAGAUAUCUUCGAGCAGCAACCCAAUAACGGAUUACCGCAUCAACCUUGUCACCAAAAGGUUAUGUAUGCCUCAAAAUGACUUAAUUUCAUUUGGGUUGUAGGCCUAUACCAGCUCCCACAGCAACAUGUUUGUACAUGGGAGAAGGAGGUUCUCGCUGACCAGCAGCUCUGUAUUCAGGAGGGGAACUCCAGUCUGGACUAAGAGGACCCAGAGUCUCCACAGAUUAAAGAACAGGAGGAAGAGCAGCUUGUACUAAAGCAGGAGACUGAUACCUUUAUGUUGACUCCUAUGUGUGUGACCACCAGCUCCUCUCUUCCAACCAUCUUGUAGCUGAGGAUCAAGAAAUGCUGAUCCAAAUCCAAAGAACAGACAUCCCAAACGCAGAAGUCACAGUAGCAAGCUAUACAACUCUACCAUGUCAAAAAAUACUCUGAUAUACUACUGAGUAAUACUCACAAAGGUAAAAAGUCUUUAAAAUGUGACGAAUGUGGCAAAGCUUUUAUCUGUUUGUCAAAAUGUAAAGCACACUUGAGAAUCCACACAGGUGAGAAGCAUUUGUGUGUGAAACAUGGGAAAGAUUUCAUACAGAGUGGUCAAUUGAAAUAACACGUAAGAACGCACACAGGCGAGAAGCCAUAUUUGUACAAAACAUGUGGGAAAAAUUUCAGAGGUGGCAGUGCCUUGAAGGUCCACAUGAGAAUGCACACAGGUGAGAAGCAGUAUACUUGUGAAACAUGUGGGAGAGCUUUCAGACAGGGUGGUGAAUUGAUACUCCACAUGAGAAUACACACAGGUGAGAAGCCAUUUGUUUGCAGCACCUGUGGGAAAAGAUUCAGUCUGACAUAUGAAUUGAAAAGCCAUACAAGAAUCCAUACAGGUGAAAAACCAUGUUUGUGCAAAACAUGUGAGAGAGGUUUCAGAAUGAGUCGUGACUUGGCAGCACACAGGAGAAGAACCAGUGAAAAUAUAUUGUUGUAAGGAAGUAGUACAUUGUCAACAAUGCUAUGAAGUUUUGGUGAACUCACAUCGUUUUAUUUCCCUUCAUAUUACAGCAUUAUUGACAUUUUUGUUAGCAACAGUAUCUCUUUGAAAAGUCUUUGUUGCACAGUGAGUUUAUAGUUCCUACAAAUGUUUGACCUGCUAAAUGAAUAUUGUUUUUUAAAACAUUUCAUACACCACCAUGUCCACCUCAGUUAUGAGUGGAUUGUAAAAAGGGCUUUAUUGGCAUGAAAGUUUCAAAAACAAUGUUGCCAAAGCAUCAAAAUACAAUUUGUCCAAAUAUCCAGACAGUACACAAUAAACAGUAUUAUGAACAUUAACACAACAUCCUGCCAACUAGUUGUUUUUUUUGUCUGAAACAUGUAAUUUAAUUUGAUAUUUAUAUAUUUUGUAUUUGCAUCAACUUGAUAUAAUUUUUAGUUGUUUUAGGUUUUAGAGGUGACACACCAUCAUACAUUUUAAAUGAUGUAUUAUAUGGUAAUAGAAACGAUCAGUGCCCAAUGGAAGGUGGGCAACAAAAUGCUGUUUUCUCAUCUUAUGUAUUGUAUUUUAACAAUAAAUUGCCAUAUGUUUAAUAACAUUUUGCAUGCAGAGGAAAUAGUUCAAAAGGACAUCAGUUAAAUGUAGUAGUCCCCAUUCCAAGAAAAAAAUAACUCAAUUCCACUGUUGGAACUUUAGUGUGACAUCCAGCAGAAGAAAACAACACAAGCGCAAGUAGCGAUAUCAGCUGUAUUAUCCGCAAAAUGUACUUACGGAAUCAAAAGGCAAGAGGCUACCACUUUUAAGAUGGCUGUGUGACCAUGGCUGUGGCCAUUAAAACAUGUAAGAGCAUUUCAUUGUUGUAGUUUGUCAGUGUGGUAGAUAAGUAGUAUAGUACUGCAUUAUAUAUAAGCAUAUAUGUAUUUAUAUACUGUAUAAAAAGUAACUAUAAGUGUUGAAUAAAUGUAGUGGAGUAAAAAGUACAAUAUUUCCUCUGAAAUGUAAAAGUUAUAGUAGAAGUAGAAUGAACCAUAAAAUGGAAAUACUGGAAGUACCAGUAUGUCAAAUUGUACUGUUAAACAGUAUUUCACAAAAAUAAAAUGUACUUUGUUACAUUCCA